CGUCCUUCUCUCUCCCUGAGUCUUUGAAAGAAAAUAUUGUAUAGACAGGAAUUCCUGAAGUCUAAACGUCUCCCACGAUGACAGGAGUGUUAUUGGGAAGAGAACAAACGAGGAGAUAAAGUCUUCAAGGAUUAGGAUAACCUGACGAUGGGAGGUUAAAACUAAGGGUUUAAAGGAUGAGCCAGGUGGAAUGGUUUGGCAAGGGCAAUGAGGAGCAUGAAAACACCAGCCCCUACUCCAGAAACUAUGGGACCACUGGUUUGGCAGGAAAAGCCACCCCCAUUUGAGAUCACAACUACCAGCGGAGAAGCGGUGUCGUCAUGGAAUAGCUAUCUUCCCAUAAACUUUUCAUGGUAUUCAAAUUUCUCCUUAGGAUGAAAUGUAUCAUCAGCAUGGAUUCUGUGAUAAAUUACAAGAUACGAACUCAAAGGGAACUGCUUUCUAUGUGCCUUAUAUUUUAAUGUUUCUCCCCUUUGUGAAUGCUUAGGUGAGAUUGUAGUCAUGAAAACUGAGUAAAAACUUUAUUACAUACAUUACUGAGGCUUCUCGCCAAUGUGGACACUCUGAAGUUGAAGACUUGAGGCCUGAAUGAAGCACAUACCACCCUCCCCACACUUCUAUAGUUUCUCUCCCAUGUGGAGCUUCUGAAGCCUAAUAAAAUUCAAGUGAUCCAG